rnacentral:rRNA from 1 species
UCUCCUGCGGGAGGCAGCAGUAGGGAAUCUUCGGCAAUGGGGGCAACCCUGACCGAGCAACGCCGCGUGAGUGAAGAAGGUUUUCGGAUCGUAAAGCUCUGUUGUAAGUCAAGAACGAGUGUGAGAGUGGAAAGUUCACACUGUGACGGUAGCUUACCAGAAAGGGACGGCUAACUACGUGCCAGCAGCCGCGGUAAUACGUAGGUCCCGAGCGUUGUCCGGAUUUAUUGGGCGUAAAGCGAGCGCAGGCGGUUUGAUAAGUCUGAAGUUAAAGGCUGUGGCUCAACCAUAGUACGCUUUGGAAACUGUCAAACUUGAGUGCAGAAGGGGAGAGUGGAAAUCCAUGUGUAGCGGUGAAAUGCGUAGAUAUAUGGAGGAACACCGGUGGCGAAAGCGGCUCUCUGGUCUGUAACUGACGCUGAGGCUCGAAAGCGUGGGGAGCGAACAGGAUUAGAAACCCGAGUAGUCCCAUGA